CCCUUAGAUGUUCUGGGCUGCACGCGCGCUACACUGACACACGCAACGAGUCUCCUGCCCUGACAGGGUCGGGUAAUCAUUUGAGUGUGUGUCGUGAUGGGGAUAGAGUAUUGCAAUUAUUGCUCUUGAACGAGGAAUUCCUAGUAAGCACAAGUCAGCAGCUUGUGCUGAUUACGUCCCUGCCCUUUGUACACACCGCCCGUCGCUCCUACCGAGGGGGUGAUCCGGUGAAUGAUUCGGACUCUGGUGCUUCUAGCUGCUAGAUGCGCCGGAGGAAGUUUUGUGAACCUUAUCACUUGGAGGGAGGAGAAGUCGUAACA
rnacentral:rRNA from 1 species